rnacentral:rRNA from 1 species
CAAUAGCGUAUAUUAAAGUUGUUGCAGUCAAAAAGCUCGUAGUUGGAUUUCUGGUUGAAGCGACCGGUCGGGCGUUGAUUCGUCUGCACUGGAGUCGGUUUUGGCCAUCCUCUAGGAAAGUGCGUCUGGUAUUAAGUUAUCGGGCGUAUGAUCCUGGUCUUUUACUGUGAAAAAAUUAGAGUGUUUAAAGCAGGCCUUCGCCUUGAAUACAUUAGCAUGGAAUAAUAAGAUAGGACUUUGGUCUAUUUUGUUGGUUUGCAGACCGAAGUAAUGAUUAAUAGGGAUAGUUGGGGGUAUUUAUAUUCCGAUGUCAGAGGUGAAAUUCUUAGAUUUUCGGAAGAUAAACUUAUGCGAAAGCAUUUACCAAGGAUGUUUUCAUUAA